UGGAGUUCCGGUACGGUUUCCGGGACUUCCGGCUGGUUCGGAAGUUGCGUUUGAGAAACCGAUUUCCGAGGGGUUAUGAUUUUGGGAUUUGUGUGAGAAUGGUCGUGUUAUUGUGUUUGUGGGUUAGACUCUAACCCGGUGGACCCUUCGUAGGUCCGGUCGCUUUGUCUCCGCCUUCGCGAGACCGUUUCAGCUUUUUACAGGUGGGUACUUCGAUCCGAAGUCGGUACAGUGGUGCACGCUCGGUGAUGUCUUCCUUUACCCUAUCUUUUACAUCGUCUAGUCAUAUUGCUUACUCUUUACAUAUUGAGCCUUGCACCAUACUGUCUUUAUUUACUCUGCCCGGUUGUCCUAUGCGUAGUAUUCUGUGUAGGGGUAGAGUAGAUGGCAUUAGUAUAUACUAUACAUGUGACCUGAUUGGUCGGUUCUCCUAUUGCAUCGGUGACCUGUUUGGUCGUUCGUUACUUUACGUACAUUGACCUAUCUCGGUCGGUUCACGUUGUACUUGAUGACCUAUACGGUCAGUAUGCCCAGAGGGGCAGUGAUUGUCGGCUGGUUGCCGACGGUUGGCUAUUGAGCAUAUCAGCAUCGAUCGUCACCACUCGUUCGCAUUUCACGAACACCAGCGGUCUGAUCCACCGCAGGGGGUGUUCUUUUCCGGAAAAGUGGUUGGGUUUGCCCACCCGUGAGCUCAGAGGUUACGACUGGGUAUAUGCAGGUUGAGUGAUUGUGGCAUUAGCCUGAGGUCUCCGGACCAACAAGGCAGGUUUAGAUUGGGUAUCUUUGGACUAUCCACCAGUUGAUGCAUACAUACAGUAGCAGUAGUUCAUUACUUGUACAUUAGUUCCUUACUUGUACUUUCUGUUCUUAUAUCAUAGUAGCUACUGUAGUUGUUUACCCUUACUGUUGUUUAGCCUCCUUUGCUGGUGCGUACCCUCGCCCUCGUCGGCUUGCGGUACCCACUGGGAGGGGAGACAUGUUUACAUGUUCUCACCCCCCGCCCCCAUUACAGGUGACGUCGCAGGUCCGAGUGGGACGGCAGGUGAGGAGCGAGUCUAGCGCGCGUUAGAGCUCCGUCCCGUUUGGUUAUCUCUUUUCCCUUGCUUGAAUAAAUAGUAAACUUUUAUUAUGGUUCAGUUUCAUUCUGUACUUGAGUAAUUGGUUUUUCGCUGGCUCUACGUAUUGUGAUAAAAAGAGAUUUAUGGGCUUUUCAAAGUAAAAUGGUUUUCUACCCCUCGUGGUAGCGCUUGUUUUAAAAAGAAAAGGGUUUUCAUAUUCGAUACAGUUUUCAAUGGUUUUCUACCCCUCCUGGUAGCGUUUUAAAAGAUAAAGGUUUUCGUGUGGGAAACAGUCUUAAAAGAAGCUUCCAAUGGAUUUCUGAGACUUAGUAUUUCAAAACUUGUUUCCGGGUAGGAAACGUUUCAAAUGAUAGAUCUGGAUUUAUGUUUAAAACUAUGAAUACUGUCGUGUUGUGAAUGGUGAAUGUAUGGACGUCUGUUUGUGCGGUUGAGGUUGUAUGUUCAUAUGGUUGUGGUUGUAUUCUGGUUGUACUCAGGUUGUAUAAUUGUACUUGUGCGAUGCCGUGCAAAUACAGGGGAGACUCUGUCCGUGUGAACAGUGGAUUCCCUGUAUUUGUGGCGGAUCUGACAUACUCUGGGGUCAGGUGUUUCAAAAAAAAAAAAAUUUUUCGUUUCCGCUGUUUU
rnacentral:lncRNA from 1 species